ensembl:lncRNA
GAGAGGGCUAAUUCGUUUCAAAGUUGGAUAAUGCUUGCACGUGCUUGGGGACUUCAGCUCGAUAAGGAGUGCACGGUGCUGGAGCUCCGGCUAGAGUGCAUUUAGGGCGGACGGAUGUGAGCGAGGCGCACUCCGUUGGACCAGAAGAGCCUUAAAUUCCUCUCAAAUGGAAGCUGCCCUGGGUAUCCACGGCAAAGGUGGGUGGAUAGAGAACAGAAUCUCUUUUGCCAAACGUGCAAAGCCUGGCUCAAUCUUUGGGGCAUUUUAUGUAGGAUAAGCCGCUGGAAUAUAGUAGUCAUGUGCCUAUCUAAGAAAAGCUAGAAGCUUGAAUAAAAAAAAUGAUAGGAAAUAAAAGGAUGAAGGUCUGACCCACCACAAGGCAUCUUGCCCUUGCCUCCUUACCGUCAGGCAGAGGGCUGCCAUGGAGGAAGCGCGAGGCGCAGUGGAUGGUCACUAGUCUGCACCCGCAGGGCUCAGGUCCCCACCCCUGUCCUCCCAGCCCCACAGUCAAGAAUCCGGCAGUCUUGGCCUCCAUACCCCACCUAGGCAUCCCCUGCGGAGGCGGAGCCUAAUCCAAGAGCCCGGGGUGGGUGUCUGGAGCCAAGCUCCAAAGAGUCUGCAGAAAGGAAAUCCAAGCUCCGGGUGUUGCUGGCCGCUCCUUGGAAAGGCAGGGGCUUCGACCUACGGGCUGCGCAAUAGGCAGGUAGCCUGGAGCUGCGAUGUAGGAGUGGUGAGCGAUCCUGGGGCUGGCAUUGCCCUCCUGGAUUUAGGAACCGUCUGGGGGAGGAGGAGGGUCAAAGGAACAUCCGCUUCUUUUGGAGAGGACGCCUUUUACUUCCCCCUGACAGCGUGCACGGGGAAGAGCUCUCUGGGAUGGCUCUCUGAGCAGGUAAAUCUCCGGCGGGGUCGAGAACAGGUGACUGACACUCUGGGUGAUGGCGGCCAGGCCGGGCAGCGCCCUUCCGGUUAUCAAGAUGAUUAACCUCCGGGCCUCGCCUCUGGUGGGAUCCCGGCUUCUCCCUCACAGGGAUUAGGGGGCGCUCCUUUCAAAGGAGGACCCGAGGGUCGCGGCCUGGGCCCUUCAUCCGCGUGGCCUCUCCUCAGAGCGGGGCUGGGAGCAGAGGGGGCGGCCCGCAGGCCCGUCCUCUCUCAUUGCCCACCUAGCCCAGUAGGGUUCACCCGGCAGAUCUCCCGCGGUCCCCCGGGUCACCUCCCCCCCGCAACCACUUGUCUGAAACUUACCAGAUUCCAACCUUUAGGCAGGAAAAAAAGUGUUUCAUAUACAAACCGAUCAGGGUAUUUGCAGAUAAUUGCGAAUGUCAAAUACUCGGGCGUGAUGACAAAGUGCAGAGAUUGCCG